rnacentral:rRNA from 1 species
CCUACGGGAGGCUGCAGUGGGGAAUAUUGGACAAUGGGCGAAAGCCUGAUCCAGCCAUGCCGCGUGUGUGAAGAAGGCCUUCGGGUUGUAAAGCACUUUCAGUGGGGAAGAAAGCCUUGGGGCUAAUACCCUCGAGGAAGGACAUCACCCACAGAAGAAGCACCGGCUAACUCCGUGCCAGCAGCCGCGGUAAUACGGAGGGUGCGAGCGUUAAUCGGAAUUACUGGGCGUAAAGCGCGCGUAGGCGGUCUGAUAAGCCGGUUGUGAAAGCCCCGGGCUCAACCUGGGAACGGCAUCCGGAACUGUCAGGCUAGAGUGCAGGAGAGGAAGGUAGAAUUCCCGGUGUAGCAGUGAAAUGCGUAGAGAUCGGGAGGAAUACCAGUGGCGAAGGCGGCCUUCUGGACUGACACUGACGCUGAGGUGCGAAAGCGUGGGUAGCAAACAGGAUUAGAUCCCCUGGUAGUC